GGAUGCGAUCGUACCAGCACUAAAGCACCGGAUCCCAUCAGAACUCUGAAGUUAAGCAUGCUUGGGAGAGAGUAGUACUAGGAUGGGUGACCUCCUGGGAAGUCCUGGUGUUGCAUACC
rnacentral:rRNA from 1 species